UAAUACGUAGGGUGCGAGCGUUAAUCGGAAUUACUGGGCGUAAAGCGUGCGCAGGCGGUUUGAUAAGAUAGGCGUGAAAUCCCCGGGCUCAACCUGGGAACUGCGCUUAUGACUGUCUCACUAGAGUACGGCAGAGGGGGGUGGAAUUCCACGUGUAGCAGUGAAAUGCGUAGAGAUGUGGAGGAACACCGAUGGCGAAGGCAGCCCCCUGGGCCGAUACUGACGCUCAUGCACGAAAGCGUGGGAGCAAACAGGAUUAGAUACCCUGGUAGUCCACGCCCUAAACGAUGUCAACUAGGUGUUGGGUGGGUAAAACCAUUUAGUACCGUAGCUAACGCGUGAAGUUGACCGCCUGGGGAGUACGGCCGCAAGGUUAAAACUCAAAGGAAUUGACGGGGACCCGCACAAGCGGUGGAUGAUGUGGAUUAAUUCGAUGCAACGCGAAAAACCUUACCUACCCUUGACAUGUCUGGAAUCCUGAAGAGAUUUGGGAGUGCCCGAAAGGGAGCCAGAACACAGGU
rnacentral:rRNA from 1 species